rnacentral:sRNA from 1 species
GGGGGCGUACCGGUUUCGACGGGGAUGGCCAGUCGAAGUAAGCGGGUCGUGGGGCCGAACCACGUAAAAAGCGGACCUUAUAAAUUAAAGAACAACGAUAACAACUACGCUUUGGCGUACGCGGCCUAAAUAAGGCCGCCGUCCCGCCCGGGAGGACCACGAACCGGGAUGUGGGCGUGACGCAGUGGUGCACAUGACCGCGGUAAGCUUUGCCCGCGGCAGGUAACAUGAAGCUACCAAGCCACGCAGCUUGACAGUCGGCGGCGCGGCGAGGGAAUGCAAAGGACUGUCUGCACCCGGAGAAAGCUUCGAGGAACUGUUUUCGGACAGGGGUUCAACUCCCCUCGCCUCCACCA